ensembl:lncRNA novel transcript
AUGAUGCAAAAAAGGAUUGAUUUCAAAAGUUGCGAGUUGCAUUGGCAGCCGCCCUUGGCGCCCGGGCCACCUUUUUCCCGGGCCCCGCUGCAAGGGCCGGGAACGUUUCCGCCACCUGGCCGGGCUCGACCGCGCGGCGCUCUGCGGGGCGCUGUCCCCGCUCCCCGAGUGCGCAGCGGAGCGUCCUGGAAGACAAUGACCAUGGGAACAAUUUGCACAGGAGGCUAGGAGCCCAGGAAAAGCCGCCUGGGCGCCAGGCAGAGGUUUUUUGAAAACACAAACGGCGCGUUAGAUGCUUGGGGACUCCCAGCAUCUGUCCUUCCUAUUGUUUAGCUCGGCUCCGGAGUUCACGGGAGCCUCGUGAAAUGUGGAGACGUCCUGCAAAGUUUCUUGAACACUUCAUGUGCGUGGUAGGAAGUCGAGGAAAAAGGUUUACGGUUCCCCGCUGGUUGCAUUGUUUGUCCUGCACAUGUUCGAGCGAACAUGGCAGCCGCAACCCUGGAUGUGUUCGAAUUGACAUCGAGGGGGGAGCUUCACGUCGUGAAAUAACUUUUUUCUGGGCUUUCGAGAUUCUAAAGCAUUGCUGAUGAAAAUAAACCAAAUACUUUCAGAUAUCGUUUAGGGCUUCUCUCUAAAACAGCAGUGUGCAGGAAUGCCGAUCGAACUUUUCUAGGCAGUAGGUCAGCAUUUUCCAAAUGUUAUUUGGGAGCAGAAAUGUUUUGGGUCACUGGACCGUGCUUUACGUGGCACGGCAGGUUGGCACGCUACGCAGAUGCCCUUUUCGUUAACAUUUCCGCUUGCCAGUUGCUCCGGGUUUUAAUCCUGGGCUGGAUGCAGAAGUGAUGCCACCUCGAAGACAGGCUGCUCCUGUCUUUGUGUACUUUCUUCAUACCCUGUAGUAAGUUUGCAAAGAACGUGUUAGUCUGCA